UAUAACACUACAAGAAAAGUUCACAUUGAUAGCAGUAGAUUAUAGCGCAUUUUCUCUAACUGCUAUGAAAAAUAAACUUUUUUUUAAUUACUAUACAAUAGCACUAGAAAGACGCUAAGAUAAAAAUUCAUUAAGUGAGAACCUAAAAUCGUUUGUUCCGCCACUACUUUGAUGAAAAUUUUCGUUUAAGCGCAUUUCAGAUCCAAUUUUUUUUUGUGUCAAUAGAACCAAAAAAGAUUGUUUUUGUUUUUUAUAUCAAAGUGCCACGUUUACAGCAAAAAUAAAACCUUAUCUCUUCUCUGUACGACGAGACGAACAAAACAUCAAAAAAAAUUUCUUCCCCCAAAUUGAAAUCUAGGUCUUUUUGAGUCCACCAUAGACUCCACCGUGAAGCUCGUCGGCGGCCUCAUUUCGCAUCCAUUCCGAUUUCAUAUCUCGGCGAAAAAGUGAUUAACACGAAUCGUUAUGUCUCCCUCUACCUCAAUUUUUAUUUGCUUCCUUCUCUUAUUAUCUUUCUCUAUCUAGAUCCGAGUUUGCGAUAUUUCAAGCUACCUAACAACAAAUUCCUCCAUUUUUUCAAAUUUCUUUCAACUAUUUAAGCUCCAGGUUCUUAUUUAUAUGAUUUUUCUUGUUUCUUCUUCUCUGUGAUUUGUUCCUUUUUGUGUUUAGAUGAACGAUUAGAUCUCGAGUCUGAUUUAGUCUCUUUGCGAUGGAUAUGGUUCGGAUUCGGUUUCAAAGUUUUAGUAUUUUGAUUGCUUGUAAAUCAAUAGGUGGGUUAAGCUUUUGAUUGUUCAACAUUUCUCUUUAUUAUAUGUUUUUCUGGAGAGGUCGAUAUAUUGAAUUGUAUCUAUGAUAUUGGAUGACCUAUAUGAUAUGCUUAUUUCUCUCAUGACAUCGAAUUAAAUUCAUAAGCUUGUUAUUUUUUUCUUGUUUUAGUGCACAACGCUUGCAUGAUUUGGGUGAUAAGUCGAUUCAGCAAUAGUUUUGUGUACAGAGGUCAAUGGAGAUGGAAAGUAUGAGCGGAUAAGUGGAACAAGCCUUUGGUGGAGGCACAGUUUUAGGUCCUCAAAAGCUUUUAAGAAAACUUUUGAUGAAUUGCUUUGAGUUAAGUCAACAUGGAAAUAAGACAGAGUUUUUGACAUGCUUGUGGUGGGGAUAUCUACGGUGGAAAAAAUUCUUUAAAGAUUGGUCUCUCCUCUACAAGUAUCACUUCGAGCUUUGGGAAAGCAAUUUUCUGAAUCAUUUGUUUGGAUUGCUAAGUGUAAUGAGUUGUUUCAUUCGUUAGGAUCAAGAUGGAGCACAGUUCAGAGGAUACCUCAAGGAGAAGGUCUUACCUCCUGUUGAGCAAAUACUACCUUAUCCAUUCUCACAAUUGGUUUGAUGCAGUUUUUGAUAACAACAAUCAGGGAGAUAAAAAUUCUAAAGCUGCAUCAUGAGAAUGUUAUUCAGCUGAAAGACAUUUGGUUCCUUUUUAGCUUGUUUCAAAACUUUGAUGUUUUUACAUGUUUUUUUUCUCCGUUAUGGAUCUAUCUGCAUUUUCUUACUGUGUAUUGACAACAAUCAGAUAUAUCUAGACUUGAAGCCAAAGCACAACUCCAGCAUAAGGAUAGGGAAAUUGCAGCUCAAAUUUUAGGUAAGAUGUUUUUUGCUUAGGCUUUUGAUUGACAUUAGAUUGUUUUCUCUUCCUACGAGAAGCCAAACGAAGCCUUAUGGUCUUAGCAAAGCAACGAUGCGCACAGCUGGAAGAAGAAAAUAAGGUUUGAGGGAGAACCGUAGUGGUGGGAACAGCCAAAUGGAUGAUGAUGAUUUGAUACAUAUGGAGAGGAUAACUAACAUGUCUUUUUCAUAUAUUCAAAGUGAACUAGUAGCUGUUCAUUGGACUGUUUCAAGAAACGCUGAGUGAGCAGCUAAAAGAGAGUCUUUGCUACAAGUAAGAAAGGCUUGGAUGGGUUACAUGUACAUGUCAAAUAGUGUUUUUUUUAUUUUUAAUGUUAGUUUUAUUUUGUUUAAGACUUGGUGACACUUUGUUAUGUAAGACUUA